GACGAACGCUGGCGGCGUGCUUAACACAUGCAAGUCGAACGCUGAAGCUCAGCUUUUGUUGGGUGGAUGAGUGGCGAACGGGUGAGUAACACGUGAGUAACCUGCCUCCUUCUUUGGGAUAACGCCCGGAAACGGGUGCUAAUACUGGAUAUUCACUGGUCUUCGCAUGGGGGUUGGUGGAAAGGGUUUUUCUGGUGGGGGAUGGGCUCGCGGCCUAUCAGCUUGUUGGUGGGGUGAUGGCCUACCAAGGCUUUGACGGGUAGCAGGCCUGAGAGGGUGACCGGUCACAGUGGGACUGAGAUACGGCCCAGACUCCGACGGGAGGCAGCAGUGGGGAAGAGUGCGCAAUGGGGGCAAGCGUGAUGCAGCGACGCCGCGUGAGGGAUGGAGGCCUUCGGGUUGUGAACCUCUUUCGCUCAUGGUCAAGCCGCAACAAUGGUUGUGGUGAGGGUAGUGGGUAAAGAAGCGCCGGCUAACUACGUG
rnacentral:rRNA from 1 species